rnacentral:rRNA from 1 species
GGGGACAACCCGCCGAAAGGCGGGCUAAACCCGCGUACAUGCCACCGGGGCAUCCCGGAGGCAGGAAAGGCUUCGGCCGGACAGGGAUGGGCAUGCGGCGCAUUAGGCAGUAGGCGGGGUAACGGCCCACCUAACCGACGAUGCGUAGGGGUUCUGAGAGGAAGGUCCCCCACGCUGGUACUGAGACACGGACUAGACUCCUACGGGAGGCAGCAGUGAGGAAUAUUGGUCAAUGGUCGGGAGACUGAACCAGCCAAGCCGCGUGAGGGAUGAAGGUACAGAGUAUCGUAAACCUCUUUUGUCAGGGAACAAAGGCGGGGACGUGUCCCCGGAUGAGUGUACCUGAAGAAAAAGCAUCGGCUAACUCCGUGCCAGCAGCCGCGGUAAUACGGAGGAUGCGAGCGUUAUCCGGAUUUAUUGGGUUUAAAGGGUGCGCAGGCGGUCUGUUAAGUCAGCGGUCAAAGCCCGGGGCUCAACCCCGGCCCGCCGUUGAAACUGGCAGUCUCGAGUUGGAGAGAAGUAUGCGGAAUGCGCGGUGUAGCGGUGAAAUGCAUAGAUAUCGCGCAGAACUCCGAUUGCGAAGGCAGCAUGCCGGCUCCACACUGACGCUGAGGCACGAAAGCGUGGGUAUCGAACAGGAUUAGAUACCCUGGUAGUCCACGCAGUAAACGAUGAA